CUUCUCUCUAAGCUCCACUCUUUCCUUCUUUGUCAAUUGCAGCCUCAGGAGCAAUGAUAGCACAUCGACUAAAUCUGUGCUUCAGCUAUGUACCCAGGGUGACCGAUUUCGUCGCCAUCAUUUCUGCAUCUUCGCUGUUGCCUCCAAGCACUCCCCUGCGUUCUUAAUUCGUUCCACCCCUGCCCCACGAGUGCCUAAUUUGUCCUUUGACGUCAAGAUGAAGUUGAGUGCUCCUCUAUGUUGGUACUCUGCUUUUCCUUCCGUCAGUUAAAGAACCAUUAGGUUCAAUUCCUUGUGUGCGUCCUGCAUUGUUGCUAGCUCGCCAGAUGGAUGGAACCUUUAGCUCUAGCUCAUUAUGAAGUCUCCUUUUGAAAGGAGGAGCUUGAUUUAUGCUGCACUUCUGGCUUGUACGUGAUUUCUUAUUGUUAUUACGCUGCUUCCUUCACAGCAAGAAGUUUUCAGACUACUUUCCUUCCUCGAAAUUAUUUAAAUAAAGUUUACACCGUGAUCCACCGGUUUAUAUACUUAGCAAGUUGCCUGACUAUCAGCAAGCGAAAACAGAAAUUAACAAGCAACCUGGUUGCCUAAAUAAAGGGAUUUCUUCUACCCACUUUGUGACAUAGUCCACUACAACCAGAAUAUGAGUGUGUUUCGUUGUUGAGGACGGGAGUGGUCUAUAAAGUCAAAUCCCC